rnacentral:rRNA from 1 species
UGUCUUUUGAGUACUUACGUUUCCUCGGUGGGUUCGCCCGCCGAUUGGACAAUUUAAACCCUUUGCAGUUGCAAUCAGCGUCUGAAAAAAAUUAAUAAUUACAACUUUCAACAACGGAUCUCUUGGUUCUGGCAUCGAUGAAGAACGCAGCGAAAUGCGAUAAGUAGUGUGAAUUGCAGAAUUCAGUGAAUCAUCGAAUCUUUGAACGCACAUUGCGCCCCUUGGUAUUCCAUGGGGCAUGCCUGUUCGAGCGUCAUUUGUACCUUCAAGCUCUGCUUGGUGUUGGGUGUUUGUCUCGCCUUUGCGUGUAGACUCGCCUCAAAACAAUUGGCAGCCGGCGUAUUGAUUUCGGAGCGCAGUACAUCUCGCGCUUUGCACUCAUAACGACGACGUCCAAAAGUACAUUUUUACACUCUUGACCUCGGAUCAGGUAGGGAUACCCGCUGAACUUAAGCAUAUCAAUAA